ACCAUUAUUCUGAAAAACAGAGAGAAAAGAAAACCAAAAACCAUUUCUUGGCUGGUUUGAAGAAAUUCUAAGGAGAUCCAAGUGAAAGCAAAGCCAAAGAAGUAGAUUAAGCUUAGUUCUAGCCUUUUUAUGAUAUUUCUUGGGGUUUCCAAGUGGUUUGAGGUUUAGAAAAGCUUGAAGAGAUUGUUUUCGCCGAAAAGUUGCUCGGAUAAGCACAUCAAUACCUAAGACAUCACUUGUUACACGGUGAAAUAUAUUGUGGACAAAAGGUAGAGAAAGAAAUAUGUGAAUGAUAUGAGGAGAACUGAAGCAUGGUCCUGACCCCGAUUUGUACAUAUGAACACAUCGACCUUUUUGUGGGUUAUUUCAGUUAUCAGUGAGAUGUUUGUAAUAAAGUGUGAAGUUAUGUUUUGAAAAUAAAUUGGGUUAUUUAAUACUUAUGUAUAAUAUGUUUGAGACACUUUAUGUUUAAUGUAAAUAAUGUGAAAUAAGUUUUCAAGUUUUAAAAAAAAAUGUCCAGACUUCCGCAGAAAUAAA